rnacentral:rRNA from 1 species
GAUGAACGCUGGCGGCGUGCCUAAUACAUGCAAGUCGAGCGAACAGACGAGGAGCUUGCUCCUCUGACGUUAGCGGCGGACGGGUGAGUAACACGUGGAUAACCUACCUAUAAGACUGGGAUAACUUCGGGAAACCGGAGCUAAUACCGGAUAAUAUAUUGAACCGCAUGGUUCAAUAGUGAAAGACGGUUUUGCUGUCACUUAUAGAUGGAUCCGCGCCGCAUUAGCUAGUUGGUAAGGUAACGGCUUACCAAGGCGACGAUGCGUAGCCGACCUGAGAGGGUGAUCGGCCACACUGGAACUGAGACACGGUCCAGACUCCUACGGGAGGCAGCAGUAGGGAAUAUUCCGCAAUGGGCGAAAGCCUGACGGAGCAACGCCGCGUGAGUGAUGAAGGUCUUCGGAUCGUAAAACUCUGUUAUUAGGAAAGAACAAAUGUGUAAGUAACUAUGCACGUCUUGACGGUACCUAAUCAGAAAGCCACGGCUAACUUCGUG